rnacentral:rRNA from 1 species
AUUGAACGCUGGCGGAAUGCUUUACACAUGCAAGUCGAACGGCAGCACGGACUUCGGUCUGGUGGCGAGUGGCGAACGGGUGAGUAAUGUAUCGGAACGUGCCCAGUCGUGGGGGAUAACGUAGUGAAAAUUACGCUAAUACCGCAUACGGUCUAUGGAUGAAAGCGGGGGAUCGCAAGACCUCGCGCGAUUGGAGCGGCCGAUAUCGGAUUAGGUAGUUGGUGGGGUAAAGGCCCACCAAGCCAACGAUCUGUAGCUGGUCUGAGAGGACGACCAGCCACACUGGAACUGAGACACGGUCCAGACUCCUACGGGAGGCAGCAGUGGGGAAUUUUGGACAAUGGGCGAAAGCCUGAUCCAGCCAUUCCGCGUGCAGGAUGAAGGCCCUCGGGUUGUAAACUGCUUUUGUACAGAACGAAAAGGUUUCUACUAAUACUAGGAGCUCAUGACGGUACUGUAAGAAUAAGCACCGGCUAACUACGUGCCAGCCGCCGCGGUAA